ACGGGGGGUGCAAGCGUUGUUAGGAAUCAUUGGGCGUAAAGAGUGAGUAGGCGGCGUGAUAAGUCAGAUGUGAAAGCCCUGGGCUAAACACAGGAAGUGAAUUUGAAACUGUCUUGCUUGAGUACGGGAGAGGGAAGAGGAAUUCCUGGUGUAGAGGUGAAAUUCGUAGAUAUCAGGAGGAACACCGGUGGCGAAGGCGACUUCCUGGCCCGAUACUGACGCUGAGACGCGAGAGCGUGGGGAGCAAACAG
rnacentral:rRNA from 1 species